UUCGCAAUGCCCGAAAGGGUGACGAAGCGACGCCGCGUGUGGGAAGAAGGCCUUCGGGUUGUAAACCACUGUCGGGAGUUAAGAAAUGCAAGGAUAUUAAUAGUGUCUUUGUUUGACUAAGGCUCCGGAGGAAGCCACGGCUAACUCUGUGCCAGCAGCCGCGGUAAUACAGAGGCGGCAAGCGUUGUUCGGAAUUAUUGGGCGUAAAGAGCACGUAGGCGGCUAUGUAAGUCAGUUGUGAAAGCCUUCCGCUCAACGGAAGAACAGCAUCCGAUACUACAUGGCUUGAGUGCGGGAGGGGAGAGUGGAACUUCUGGUGGAGCGGUGAAAUGCGUAGAUAUCAGAAGGAACGCCGGCGGCGAAAGCGGCUCUCUGGCCCAUAACUGACGCUGAGUGUGCGAAAGCUAGGGGAGCAAACGGGAUUAGAUACCCCGGUAGUCCUAGCCGUAAACGAUGGGCACUAAGUAGAGGGGUUUU
rnacentral:rRNA from 1 species